GAUGAACGCUGGCGGCGUGCUUAACACAUGCAAGUCGAACGAUGAAGCCCAGCUUGCUGGGUGGAUUAGUGGCGAACGGGUGAGUAACACGUGAGUAACCUGCCCUUAACUCUGGGAUAAGCCUGGGAAGCUGGGUCUAAUACCGGAUAGGAGCGUCCACCGCAUGGUGGGUGUUGGAAAGAUUUAUCGGUUUUGGAUGGACUCGCGGCCUAUCAGCUUGUUGGUGAGGUAAUGGCUCACCAAGGCGACGACGGGUAGCCGGCCUGAGAGGGUGACCGGCCACACUGGGACUGAGACACGGCCCAGACUCCUACGGGAGGCAGCAGUGGGGAAUAUUGCACAAUGGGCGCAAGCCUGAUGCAGCGACGCCGCGUGAGGGAUGACGGCCUUCGGGUUGUAAACCUUUUUCAGUAGGGAAGAAGCGAAAGUGACGGUACCUGCAGAAGAAGCACCGGCUAACUACGUG
rnacentral:rRNA from 1 species